rnacentral:lncRNA from 1 species
CUCUUUUAAGCUGUGCUCUGCAGAAAUGCAUAAUACUUGGUGCAAUGAAUUCUUCAGAAUUUUCCCUCUGCUGUCACAAUAAAAUGAAAAAUCUUCAGAAGUGAUGUUAGACGGCACAAUGAUAUGCCAUGAUAUUACCAUCCUGCCAAUAGAGGAAGAUAGAUCAACAUGGACGAUCAACACCAUCUUGCUGAAAUGGAUGAGAGCAAGCACAGGCUUUUUGGCUAAUAGGCUAGAAAAUAUCCUAAUAAGGCUCAGCCAACCCCUGAAGCACGUUUUUAGAGGUUCUGUUUCAGAAUAAAAACUAUGGUGCCAACCCUAUGGAAUUGGUAAGCCUUCACACUUUGGGGAAAAGUAAUUUUGGAAAAUAUUUUGAAGUAAUCUUUGUCAGAAAAACAGCUGACAAAAAUCUGAAAUGAGAACACAGUAUGUCAGGGAAAAUUCAGAAGUUAAGCUGUAUCUUUAUGCAACCUUACAGAAUCCAGCCCAAAUUCUGAAGAGUUAUGGCAUUUCUACUUGUAUAUUUAACUGAAAAAAAACACCACUUUUUUUGAUAUAGAAGCUAAGGAGAGUCAGAUAGAACAGUUGGGGCUUGGGGAUUUAUUUAGUUGGGAAUUAUUCCUAAAUUAUGAACAUAAGCUCCUGAGAAUUAUAGGGCUGGUAAACUUACUGGCUGAAUGAGUUUCUUGGAGUUUUUUCUUCUA